rnacentral:rRNA from 1 species
AAUCAACGCUGGCGGCGUGCCUAACACAUGCAAGUCGAACGCGGUUACUUCUGCUUCGCAAGAAGUAGUGGUAACUGAGUGGCGAACGGGUGAGUAACACGUGGGUGACCUGCCUUCGAGUGGGGGAUAACAUCCCGAAAGGGGUGGCUAAUACCGCAUGAGAUCCUGCCUUUGAAGAGGCGGAGAUUAAAGCUGGGGAUCGUAAGACCCGGCGCUUGAAGAGGGGCCCGCGUCCGAUAGCUAGUUGGUGGGGUAACGGCCUACCAAGGCGACGAUCGGUAGCCGGCCUGAGAGGGCGGACGGCCACACUGGGACUGAGACACGGCCCAGACUCCUACGGGAGGCAGCAGUGGGGAAUUGUUCGCAAUGGGCGAAAGCCUGACGACGCAACGCCGCGUGGAGGACGAAGAUUUUCGGAUCGUAAACUCCUUUCGAUCGGGACGAACGACUGGUGGCCCAAUACGCCAUCAGAGUGACGGUACCGAGAGAAGAACGCCCGGCUAACUCCGUGCCAGCCGCCG